rnacentral:tRNA from 4 species
GAUAGCUCAGUUGGUAGAGCAAAUGACUGUUAAUCAUUGGGUCGCAGGUUCGAGUCCUGCUC